rnacentral:rRNA from 1 species
UACGUAGGGUGCGAGCGUUGUCCGGAAUUAUUGGGCGUAAAGAGCUUGUAGGUGGUUUGUCGCGUCUGCUGUGAAAAUCCGAGGCUCAACCUUGGGCUUGCAGUGGGUACGGGCAGACUAGAGUGCGGUAGGGGUGACUGGAAUUCCUGGUGUAGCGGUGGAAUGCGCAGAUAUCAGGAGGAACACCGAUGGCGAAGGCAGGUCACUGGGCCGCAACUGACGCUGAGGAGCGAAAGCAUGGGGAGCGAACAGG